rnacentral:lncRNA from 1 species
GUCACUCAACUUUCAAACCUCAAUCAGUAAAACCACAUCAACAAAACAUAUACAUCAAGAUACAGAAACUGUAUUUAAACACUUGGGCAUUGUUCAUAAUAAAAAUCCUACCAAGCUACAAAUAGAAAAGGAAGGAAGUUUCCAAAAGCUGAUUGUAUUUUAUCUUUUUUAAUCUAUAGCUUCCUGACCUCAAAACUGGCUAAAAGGCUAGGCGUGGUGGCAGAUGCUUGCAAUCCCAGCAUUUGAAGGCUGCUAUAAGAAGACUGCAAAUCCCAAAUCAAUCCAGGAUACAGGGAGAGAUUCUUUCUCACAAAAAACAAAAGCAAAAACAAAAACCAGACUAGGCCGGGACAUGCUGAUACACACCUAAAUCCCAGUACUUGGGAAGAAGUAGUAGGUGGGAUCUCUUAUGACCCUUCCUGGUCUACACAGCAAGUUCUGGGCAGCCAAGGCUAGUAAGACACUGUUUAAAAACAAACAAACAAACAAACAAACAAACAAACAAACAAACAAAAAAACAAGAAACCUGACUAUAGACCAUAAAAGCAAAGCAGCUGUGACACUUGGAGAUGGGGUGUGGCUCAGUGGCAAAGUACUUACCUAACAUACUCAUAUACUUGAGUUCAAACUCGAGUAUUGAAAAACAAAAACAAAACAGCAUGUUAUAGACAUUAUGACAGGCAGGCCAAUAGAAUGUCUGCAUGUCUGUAUCUUACCAAAUAUUUGUGUGUAGUUUGUUUGAUUGUUUUUUGUUUUUGUGUUUUGUUUUGUUUUUGUAGUGCUAGGUACUAAACCUAGAGUCUUGUGCAUGCUAAGCAAGGCCAAAUAAUUUUUUGACAAUUUUUUCCAUAUUCAAUAGGGAAAGAAAUCUUUUUAACACAGAGCCUAGGAAAACAAUGGCUAUAUACAAAAGAAUGAAAUUAUAUGUUACCUUGCACUAUAUCCAAAAAAUUAUCAAAU